CGAGAGAGGUCCGGGACACGAAGAU
rnacentral:tRNA from 1 species